AUGGGGAACUUCGCGUCCUGCACGCUGGCCAGGAUCCCCGGGGCGGCCAAGGGCGCCAGAGUCGUGCUCCCCGACGGCGGGCUCAGGCUCGUCAGGCCCCCGGCCACGGCGGCGGAGCUCAUGCUCGAGGCGCCGGGCCAUUUCCUGGCCGACGCGCGCGCGCUGCAGGCGGGCCGCCGGAUCGAGGCGCUCGCGGCUGACGAAGACCUCGAGCUCGGCGGCGUCUACGCCGCCUUCCCCAUGAAGCGGCUCGGCUCCAAGGCCGCGCCCGCCGACGUGGCACGCCUGGCCGCCGUUUUCGCCAGGGAGGCUCAUGGCCGGAGGCCUGCCUCGGCCAAGGUGGCGGCCAUCGUCGUGGCGCCGCCCGAGGCGGCUUCCGUUGCCGCCGAGGCGGACCUCGCGCCGGUCAGGGCGCCGCGGUUGGAUGAGAUGGCCGUGGACGACGAGGCGGCUGCGGCGGAGAUCGGGGAGCUCAAGCAACGGAUUAGCGGCGGCCGCUUGUCGAGGCGGCGGCCGACGUUGGAGACCAUACACGAGGAGAGCUACGCCGCGCUAGCAUGCUAA
rnacentral:rRNA from 1 species